rnacentral:rRNA from 1 species
UAGUACACUUAAAUUUAAUUUAUAAUACUAGAAUAUUAGAAGUUAUAUUCUUUAAAUUUAAAAAAUUUGGCGGUGUUUUAGUCUAGUUAGAGGAACCUGUAUUAUAAACGAUAUAACACGCAUUAUUUUACUUGUUUUGGUAAGCAGUUUGUAUACCGUCAUUAUCAGAUAAUUUAAGAGAGAAUAUUAUUGAGAUCAUAUUAUUGAGUAUAUUAGAUCAAGGUGCAGCUUAUAAACAAGUAAAUAUGGGUUACAAUAAAAUUUAUUUAAUACGGAUUGAAUGUUCAAAUAAUGUUCAUGAAGGAGGAUUUAAUUGUAAAAGAAGAAGUAGUAAGGUUUUUUGAUAUAAGCUCUAAAUUGU